UACAGAGGUCUCAAGCGUUGUUCGGAUUCAUUGGGCGUAAAGGGUGCGUAGGCGGCGCGGUAGGUCGGGUGUGAAAUCUCGGAGCUUAACUCCGAAACUGCAUUCGAUACUGCCGUGCUUGAGGACUGGAGAGGAGACUGGAAUUUACGGUGUAGCGGUGAAAUGCGUAGAUAUCAGGAGGAACACCUGUGGUGUAGACGGCUUACUGGACCGCAACUGACGCUGAGACACGAAAGCGUGGGUAGCAAACAGG
rnacentral:rRNA from 1 species